UACGUAGGGUGCGAGCGUUGUCCGGAUUUAUUGGGCGUAAAGGGCUCGUAGGCGGUUUGUCGCGUCGGCUGUGAAAACUCGGGGCUCAACCCCGAGCCUGCAGUCGAUACGGGCAAACUCGAGUGCGGUAGGGGAGACUGGAAUUCCUGGUGUAGCGGUGAAAUGCGCAGAUAUCAGGAGGAACACCGGCGGCGAAGGCGGGUCUCUGGGCCGUAACUGACGCUGAGGAGCGAAAGCGUGGGGAGCGAACAGG
rnacentral:rRNA from 1 species